rnacentral:rRNA from 1 species
UGGGAGGACCAUCUCCUAAGGCUAAAUACUCUCUAGUGACCGAUAGUGAACCAGUACCGUGAGGGAAAGGUGAAAAGCACCCCGGAAGGGGAGUGAAAUAGAACCUGAAACCGUGUGCUUACAAGUAGUCAGAGCCCGUUAAUGGGUGAUGGCGUGCCUUUUGUAGAAUGAACCGGCGAGUUACGAUUUGAUGCAAGGUUAAGCAGUAAAUGUGGAGCCGUAGCGAAAGCGAGUCUGAAUAGGGCGUUUAGUAUUUGGUCGUAGACCCGAAACCAGGUGAUCUACCCUUGGUCAGGUUGAAGUUCAGGUAACACUGAAUGGAGGACCGAACCGACUUACGUUGAAAAGUGAGCGGAUGAACUGAGGGUAGCGGAGAAAUUCCAAUCGAACCUGGAGAUAGCUGGUUCUCUCCGAAAUAGCUUUAGGGCUAGCCUCAAGUGAUGAUUAUUGGAGGUAGAGCACUGUUUGGACGAGGGGCCCCUCUCGGGUUACCGAAUUCAGACAAACUCCGAAUGCCAAUUAAUUUAACUUGGGAGUCAGAACAUGGGUGAUAAGGUCCGUGUUCGAAAGGGAAACAGCCCAGACCACCAGCUAAGGUCCCAAAAUAUAUGUUAAGUGGAAAAGGAUGUGGCGUUGCCCAGACAACUAGGAUGUUGGCUUAGAAGCAGCCAUCAUUUAAAGAGUGCGUAAUAGCUCACUAGUCGAGUGACACUGCGCCGAAAAUGUACCGGGGCUAAACAUAUUACCGAAGCUGUGGAUUGUCCUUUGGACAAUGGUAGGAGAGCGUUCUAAGGGCGUUGAAGCAUGAUCGUAAGGACAUGUGGAGCGCUUAGAAGUGAGAAUGCCGGUGUGAGUAGCGAAAGACGGGUGAGAAUCCCGUCCACCGAUUGACUAAGGUUUCCAGAGGAAGGCUCGUCCGCUCUGGGUUAGUCGGGUCCUAAGCUGAGGCCGACAGGCGUAGGCGAUGGAUAACAGGUUGAUAUUCCUGUACCACCUAUAAUCGUUUUAAUCGAUGGGGGGACGCAGUAGGAUAGGCGAAGCGUGCGAUUGGAUUGCACGUCUAAGCAGUAAGGCUGAGUAUUAGGCAAAUCCGGUACUCAUUAAGGCUGAGCUGUGAUGGGGAGAAGACAUUGUGUCUUCGAGUCGUUGAUUUCACACUGCCGAGAAAAGCCUCUAGAUAGAAAAUAGGUGCCCGUACCGCAAACCGACACAGGUAGUCAAGAUGAGAAUUCUAAGGUGAGCGAGCGAACUCUCGUUAAGGAACUCGGCAAAAUGACCCCGUAACUUCGGGAGAAGGGGUGCUCUUUAGGGUUAACGCCCAGAAGAGCCGCAGUGAAUAGGCCCAAGCGACUGUUUAUCAAAAACACAGGUCUCUGCUAAACCGUAAGGUGAUGUAUAGGGGCUGACGCCUGCCCGGUGCUGGAAGGUUAAGAGGAGUGGUUAGCUUCUGCGAAGCUACGAAUCGAAGCCCCAGUAAACGGCGGCCGUAACUAUAACGGUCCUAAGGUAGCGAAAUUCCUUGUCGGGUAAGUUCCGACCCGCACGAAAGGCGUAACGAUUUGGGCACUGUCUCAACGAGAGACUCGGUGAAAUCAUAGUACCUGUGAAGAUGCAGGUUACCCGCGACAGGACGGAAAGACCCCGUGGAGCUUUACUGUAGCCUGAUAUUGAAAUUCGGCACAGCUUGUACAGGAUAGGUAGGAGCCUUUGAAACGUGAGCGCUAGCUUACGUGGAGGCGCUGGUGGGAUACUACCCUAGCUGUGUUGGCUUUCUAACCCGCACCACUUAUCGUGGUGGGAGACAGUGUCAGGCGGGCAGUUUGACUGGGGCGGUCGCCUCCUAAAAGGUAACGGAGGCGCUCAAAGGUUCCCUCAGAAUGGUUGGAAAUCAUUCAUAGAGUGUAAAGGCAUAAGGGAGCUUGACUGCGAGACCUACAAGUCGAGCAGGGUCGAAAGACGGACUUAGUGAUCCGGUGGUUCCGCAUGGAAGGGCCAUCGCUCAACGGAUAAAAGCUACCCCGGGGAUAACAGGCUUAUCUCCCCCAAGAGUUCACAUCGACGGGGAGGUUUGGCACCUCGAUGUCGGCUCAUCGCAUCCUGGGGCUGUAGUCGGUCCCAAGGGUUGGGCUGUUCGCCCAUUAAAGCGGUACGCGAGCUGGGUUCAGAACGUCGUGAGACAGUUCGGUCCCUAUCCGUCGUGGGCGUAGGAAAUUUGAGAGGAGCUGUCCUUAGUACGAGAGGACCGGGAUGGACAUACCUCUGGUGUACCAGUUGUCGUGCCAACGGCAUAGCUGGGUAGCUAUGUGUGGACGGGAUAAGUGCUGAAAGCAUCUAAGCAUGAAGCCCCCCUCAAGAUGAGAUUUCCCAACUUCGGUUAUAAGAUCCCUCAAAGAUGAUGAGGUUAAUAGGUUCGAGGUGGAAGCAUGGUGACAUGUGGAGCUGACGAAUACUAA